AGUGAACGCUGGCGGUAGGCCUAACACAUGCAAGUCGAACGGCAGCACAGUAAGAGCUUGCUCUUACGGGUGGCGAGUGGCGGACGGGUGAGGAAUACAUCGGAAUCUACUUUUUCGUGGGGGAUAACGUAGGGAAACUUACGCUAAUACCGCAUACGACCUACGGGUGAAAGCAGGGGAUCUUCGGACCUUGCGCGAUUGAAUGAGCCGAUGUCGGAUUAGCUAGUUGGCGGGGUAAAGGCCCACCAAGGCGACGAUCCGUAGCUGGUCUGAGAGGAUGAGCAGCCACACUGGAACUGAGACACGGUCCAGACUCCUACGGGAGGCAGCAGUGGGGAAUAUUGGCCAAUGGGCGCAAGCCUGAUCCAGCCAUACCGCGUGGGUGAAGAAGGCCUUCGGGUUGUAAAGCCCUUUUGUUGGGAAAGAAAAGCAGCAGGUUUAUACCCCGCUGUUCUGACGGUACCCAAAGAAUAAGCACCGGCUAACUUCGUG
rnacentral:rRNA from 1 species